UGGGGAAUAUUGGACAAUGGGCGAAAGCCUGAUCCAGCCAUGCCGCGUGUGUGAAGAAGGUCUUCGGAUUGUAAAGCACUUUAAGUUGGGAGGAAGGGCAUUAACCUAAUACGUUAGUGUUUUGACGUUACCGACAGAAUAAGCACCGGCUAACUUCGUGCCAGCAGCCGCGGUAAUACGAAGGGUGCAAGCGUUAAUCGAAUUACUGGGCGUAAAGCGCGCGUAGGUGGUUCGUUAAGUCGGAUGUGAAAGCCCCGGGCUCAACCUGGGAACUGCAUCCAAAAACUGGCGAGCUAGAGUACGGUAGAGGGUGGUGGAAUUUCCUGUGUAGCGGUGAAAUGCGUAGAUAUAGGAAGGAACACCAGUGGCGAAGGCGACCACCUGGACUGAUACUGACACUGAGGUGCGAAAGCGUGGGGAGCAAAACAGGAUUAGAUACCCUGGUAGUCCACGCCGUAAAACGAUGUCAACUAGCCGUUGGGUUCCUUGAGAACUUAGUGGCGCAGCUAACGCAUUAAGUUGACCGCCUGGGGAGUACGG
rnacentral:rRNA from 1 species